GCCGAGAUAGCCUAGCCAGGUAAGGCGCGGGACUUGAGAUCCCGUGGAGUUUCUCCUCAUGGGUUCAAAUCCCAUUCUCGGCG
rnacentral:tRNA from 1 species